rnacentral:rRNA from 1 species
AACGAACGCUGGCGGCAGGCUUAACACAUGCAAGUCGAACGCCCCGCAAGGGGAGUGGCAGACGGGUGAGUAACGCGUGGGAAUCUACCGUACCCUACGGAAUAACGCAUGGAAAAGUGUCAUAAUACCGUAUACGCCAUACGUGGGAAAGAUUUAUCGGGGUAUGAUGAGCCCGCGUUGGAUUAGCUAGUUGGUGGGGUAAAGGCCUACCAAGGCGACGAUCCAUAGCUGGGCUGAGAGGAUGAUCAGCCACAUUGGGACUGAGACACGGCCCAAACUCCUACGGGAGGCAGCAGUGGGGAAUAUUGGACAAUGGGCGCAAGCCUGAUCCAGCCAUGCCGCGUGAGUGAUGAAGGCCCUAGGGUUGUAAAGCUCCUUCACCGAUGAAGAUAUGACGGUAGUCGGAGAAGAAGCCCCGGCUAACUUCGUGCCAGCCGCCGCCGUAAAAC